CAGAGGAGAGAAAACGCCGCUGUUAAGGGCAAGACGCCUUCCGCCUUUGUGAAGGCCACACAUUAACAGAGAAGACUCGACUCGUCCAUCUUCCCGCGCAUGCUCUAUGGAUAAUAGCUCAACGUCCCAAGGACCAGAGGGGGAGCUGUGGUCAUCUCCCAUUCUGUGGGUGAGGACUCGGGGGCUCCAAGAGGAAAUGUGUAGCUUAACUUGCUCGGGGUGAGUGGCAGAGCAGCCAACUGACAAAUAGGGAGUAAGGCACAAUUCUACAAGUUCUUGAUGGACCCGGGGUCAGGGUUAGGGGCCCCCUGCUCAAGUGACAACGAGCAGCAGUCAUCCCACUCGCAAUGUCAAAGGCCUGCAGUGAGGCUGUGGCUCUAUGAAGAAAAGAGACCGUCAGGUUCCCCCCAGCCUCAGCCUCCUGGGGUUUCGGGCACCUAUUCCUCUGUUUCUGCAGCAGCCAAUGGCUUUUCCCGAGCCUUUGACCUCCUGGGCAGCCACAAGAGUCAAAUGCAGUAAUUACACUAUUGCUGUGGUCAGAAGAAUAUCAAGGGAAUCAUUUUGGAAAGGUGGUGGGCAUGUUGGUCCCUAGAAGUACCAAGUCACCUGGAUCCGCUCAAGUGGGUCCACUCAAGUUUCAUUCAUGUCAAUAUCAGAAAUUAGCUCAACUUUUAAAUAAAAAUGUUCCCCUGGGCCAGGCAGCACAAGCAAUUUAAUCACAGCCCCCCACCCCCACCCCGGCUUCCACCUGCCGCCCUCCAACACAAACGUUCAGAGCAAGAAAGAACCCCGAACUGGUGGGUGACAUUUAAGUACUUGAAGAGGGAAAAGGAACAGAGGGGGGGAAAAAAAAAAGACAAAAUGAGCAUCCAUGAAGUGAAAUGAAGGAGAGAGCCACAGUUCACGCUUCAAUCUUGAGAGGAAUAAGACUUUCAUUCAUUUUUAAAAUCAACUUUGACUUGAGAUGUCCAUAAAGACCUCCCCGGGGGCAGUCAGGUGACAUUUUCAGUUUGGAGACAUUUAUGUUUCAGUAGAGCAGUGCUGGCCUCGGGAUAAUGUCAGUACCUCUCGUGACCUCCCAUCCCUGUUUACAUUAUCCAGACCCUUAAGUAAAUGGCUUGUCGGGGAAAUCGAACUCUGAAAGCAUUACGAUGUUUUAACAGCAAUCCAGAGCAGUUCAUGACUUCAGGGCAAGCACAUUAAGGCGGCUAAAUGUCUUUCACCCCAACGGUCUUUAACAGUAGACAGGGGAUGACUACCACAGCGAGAAACACGAGCUAGGCUUUUCCAUUUUGAUGAGCGUCCCAUUCUAAACUAGCAUUUGCUUAAACCUACCCCAAGCGGUGACUAUACACUCACUACCCGACCUCUCUUCAGUUCAUUGGAAAAUAAAAAGGUCGGGCCUGCAUAAGAAAGUGUGCUUCCUUUCAUUUCAAAAGGUGACCAGCUGUUUUCAUGAAGACCAACCUCCCUGAAAUAGACAGAUGAAACUGCCUAAGAUGGGACCCAGCACACAAUACAGUUCAAGUUCACUAGCAAAAGAAGUUUGCAGACCCCUAUCUGGAAGCGCUGACGUUCAGAGUGUGGCCCCAGGACCGGGAGCAUCAGCGUCGCCUAUGAACACGAACCAACGAAUCAACAUGAAGUGACCUGUAACGCACUUCGAAGCAGCAGCUAGCACGGGUGCCCCGAAGGUGCAGCUCAGCUCUCAUUUGAACAAGGCAAGCUCUGCCCCAUAAUCGUGCUGUUAUCAUCAUCUUGGGUACUGGGGCCUCUUAAAGGCCUGAUUGAAUG